AAGGGCGCACGGUGGAUGCCUUGACACUAGGAGUCGAUGAAGGACGGGACUAACGCCGAUAUGCUUCGGGGAGCUGUAAGUAAGCUUUGAUCCGAAGAUUUCCGAAUGGGGAAACCCACCAUACGUAAUGGUAUGGUAUCCUUAUCUGAAUACAUAGGGUAAGGAAGACAGACCCAGGGAACUGAAACAUCUAAGUACCUGGAGGAAGAGAAAGCAAAUGCGAUUUCCUGAGUAGCGGCGAGCGAAACGGAACAUAGCCCAAACCAAGAGGCUUGCCUCUUGGGGUUGUAGGACAUUCUAUACGGAGUUACAAAGGAACGAGGUAGACGAAGCGACCUGGAAAGGUCCGUCGUAGAGGGUAACAACCCCGUAGUCGAAACUUCGUUCUCUCUUGAAUGUAUCCUGAGUACGGCGGAACACGUGAAAUUCCGUCGGAAUCUGGGAGGACCAUCUCCCAAGGCUAAAUACUCCCUAGUGAUCGAUAGUGAACCAGUACCGUGAGGGAAAGGUGAAAAGCACCCCGGAAGGGGAGUGAAAGAGAUCCUGAAACCGUGUGCCUACAAAUAGUCAGAGCCCGUUAACGGGUGAUGGCGUGCCUUUUGUAGAAUGAACCGGCGAGUUACGAUCCCGUGCGAGGUUAAGCUGAAGAGGCGGAGCCGCAGCGAAAGCGAGUCUGAAUAGGGCGUUUAGUACGUGGUCGUAGACCCGAAACCAGGUGAUCUACCCAUGUCCAGGGUGAAGUUCAGGUAACACUGAAUGGAGGCCCGAACCCACGCACGUUGAAAAGUGCGGGGAUGAGGUGUGGGUAGCGGAGAAAUUCCAAUCGAACCUGGAGAUAGCUGGUUCUCCCCGAAAUAGCUUUAGGGCUAGCCUUAAGUGUAAGAGUCUUGGAGGUAGAGCACUGAUUGGACUAGGGGUCCUCAUCGGAUUACCGAAUUCAGUCAAACUCCGAAUGCCAAUGACUUAUCCUUAGGAGUCAGACUGCGAGUGAUAAGAUCCGUAGUCAAAAGGGAAACAGCCCAGACCGCCAGCUAAGGUCCCAAAGUGUGUAUUAAGUGGAAAAGGAUGUGGAGUUGCUUAGACAACUAGGAUGUUGGCUUAGAAGCAGCCACCAUUUAAAGAGUGCGUAAUAGCUCACUAGUCGAGUGACUCUGCGCCGAAAAUGUACCGGGGCUAAAUACACCACCGAAGCUGCGGAUUGAUACCAAUGGUAUCAGUGGUAGGGGAGCGUUCU
rnacentral:rRNA from 1 species